CCUGCCUGGCAAGCACAAGGUCCUGAGUUUAAUCUCCAGUACCAAAACAAACAAAAGAAAUCAAACUAUUUCCCUCUAAAUAAAAUUCUUCUAUUAGAGCAACAUUUUAUUAGAGUUCUAGGUGUUCCACAGCAAUUCUAAUAAUGUGCUUUUUCAUUUGAUAAAAUAUUUAACUGCUUUUCUGUCUCUUCCUCCCCCAGCCUGACUCUGUGCAGUUUGGACACCGCCUUAUAGUACGAUCAAACCAUUCACUUCCAUAAUCACUGCAGUGGACCAAUUAUUUUGACUUUGAGGAAGAGCUAGAAGUCCCACACUGCGAGAUCUGCCAAGGUGUUCUGGAGUGAAGAGAUGGAGCCAGGGGACCUUGAUGGGCAAGUUACUGCCGAACACAACCUCCUUGGAGAGUUGCCAGACCUGCCAAGGUUCUGUGCAUCCUGUCCCCAAGGCCCACGGCGCAGCUGUCCAGAGCACACUGGCCAGGGCACGCGCCCACCUGUGCCAAGGAAUCCCCAGGUGGAGAGAAUUCCUCCCAGGGAAGCCCUGCGGCUGGAGUGCACCUCAGCAUGACCUGCUGCCUUCAGGAGUCGUGCAGAUCCCGGGAAGGAGCAGGGAGCGCCCAGCGCCUCGGGCUUCCUCCCUGCAGCCCACCUUCCCGACAGGCAGUAGAGCGAUGGAAGAGCUUUCUAUGAACAACAAACCUG
rnacentral:lncRNA from 1 species